GAUGAAGAACGCAGCGAAAUGGGAUAAGUAAUGUGAAUUGCAGAAUUCAGUGAAUCAUCGAAUCUUUGAACGCACAUUGCGCCCCCUGGUAUUCCGGGGGGCAUGCCUGUCCGAGCGUCAUUACAACCCUCAAGCUCAGCUUGGUGUUGGGCCCCGCCGCCCCGGCGGGCCCUAAAGUCAGUGGCGGUGCCGUCCGGCUCCGAGCGUAGUAAUUCUUCUCGCUCUGGAGGUCCGGUCGUGUGCUCGCCAGCAACCCCCAAUUUUUUUCAGGUUGACCUCGGAUCAGGCAGGGAUACCCGCUGAACUUAAGCAUAUCAAUAAGCGGAGGA
rnacentral:misc_RNA from 1 species